rnacentral:rRNA from 1 species
UUAGCCCUAAACCCAGAUAAUUUUUUAAACAAAAUUAUUCGCCAGAGUACUACUAGCAAUAGCCUGAAACUCAAAGGACUUGGCGGUGCUUCAUAUCCCUCUAGAGGAGCCUGUCCUAUAAACGAUAAACCCCGAUAGACCUUACCAACUCUAGCUAAUGCAGCCUAUAUACCGCCAUCCUCAGCAAACCCUGAUAAAGGAAAUACAGUAAGCAAGAUUGUUAAAAUACAAAAACGUUAGGUCAAGGUGUAGCCUAUGAGUUGGAAAGAGAUGGGCUACAUUUUCUCAAAACAGAAAAAAACGAACAUUCUUAUGAUAUUAAGAAUUAAAGGAGGAUUUAGUAGUAAGCUAAGAAUAGAGAGCUUGGCUGAAUUAGGCCCUGAAGCACGC